AUUUUAUGCUUGCAUAAAUGAUUUUUGGAUUCGGAGCGAGUGGCGAACUGGUGAGUAACACGUGGGUAACCUGCCCCGAAGCGGGGGAUAACAUUUGGAAACAAGUGCUAAUACCGCAUAAUUAGUUGGAACCGCAGGGUUCCAACUUGAAAGAUGGCUCUGCUAUCACUUUGGGAUGGACCCGCGCCGUAUUAGUUAGUUGGUGAGAUAAAAGCCCACCAAGACGAUGAUACGUAGCCGACCUGAGAGGGUAAUCGGCCACAUUGGGACUGAGACACGGCCCAGACUCCUACGGGAGGCAGCAGUAGGGAAUCUUCCACAAUGGACGAAAGUCUGAUGGAGCAACGCCGCGUGAGUGAUGAAGGUUUUCGGAUCGUAAAACUCUGUUGUUAAAGAAGAACAAGUGUUAGAGUAACUGUUAACACUUUGACGGUAUUUAACCAGAAAGCCACGGCUAACUACGUGCCAGCAGCCGCGGUAAUACGUAGGUGGCAAGCGUUGUCCGGAUUUAUUGGGCGUAAAGCGAGCGCAGGCGGUUUUGUAAGUCUGCUGUGAAAGCCCUCAGCUCAACUGAGGAAGUGCAGUGGAAACUACAAAACUUGAGUACAGAAGAGGAAAGUGGAACUCCAUGUGUAGCGGUGAAAUGCGUAGAUAUAUGGAAGAACACCAGUGGCGAAGGCGGCUUUCUGGUCUGUUACUGACGCUGAGGCUCGAAAGCAUGGGUAGCGAACAGGAUUAGAUACCCUGGUAGUCCAUGCCGUAAACGAUGAAUACUAGGUGUUGGAAGGGUUUCCGCCCUUCAGUGCCGCAGCUAACGCAUUAAGUAUUCCGCCUGGGGAGUACGACCGCAAGGUUGAAACUCAAAGGAAUUGACGGGGGCCCGCACAAGUGGUGGAGCAUGUGGUUUAAUUCGAUGCUACGCGAAGAACCUUACCAGCUCUUGACAUCUUCUGCCAACCCAAGAGAUUGGGCGUUCCCUUCGGGGACAGAAUGACAGGUGGUGCAUGGUUGUCGUCAGCUCGUGUCGUGAGAUGUUGGGUUAAGUCCCGCAACGAGCGCAACCCUUAUUAUUAGUUGCCAGCAUUUAGUUGGGCACUCUAGUGAGACUGCCGGUGAUAAACCGGAGGAAGGUGGGGACGACGUCAAAUCAUCAUGCCCCUUAUGAGCUGGGCUACACACGUGCUACAAUGGAUGGUACAACGAGUCGCGAAACCGCGAGGUCAAGCUAAUCUCUUAAAGCCAUUCUCAGUUCGGAUUGCAGGCUGCAACUCGCCUGCAUGAAGUUGGAAUCACUAGUAAUCGUGGAUCAGCAUGCCACGGUGAAUACGUUCCCGGGCCUUGUACACACCGCCCGUCACACCAUGAGAGUUUGUAACACCCAAAGAC
rnacentral:rRNA from 1 species